rnacentral:tRNA from 1 species
UUAAGAGUGCCAGAUUAUAUGGGUUGGAUUUAGGUUUCGAUGAUGGAGUUGUGUAUACCCUCUUAGC